rnacentral:rRNA from 1 species
GCUAGCUACAGGCUUAACACAUGCAAGUCGAGGGGCAGCAUGGUCUUAGCUUGCUAAGGCCGAUGGCGACCGGCGCACGGGUGAGUAACGCGUAUCCAACCUGCCUUACACUCUUGGACAGCCUUCUGAAAGGGAGAUUAAUACAAGAUGUUAUCAUGAGUAAGCAUUUUCGCAUGAUUAAAGGUUUACCGGUGUAAGAUGGGGAUGCGUUCCAUUAGAUAGUAGGCGGGGUAACGGCCCACCUAGUCUUCGAUGGAUAGGGGUUCUGAGAGGAAGGUCCCCCACAUUGGAACUGAGACACGGUCCAAACUCCUACGGGAGGCAGCAGUGAGGAAUAUUGGUCAAUGGACGAGAGUCUGAACCAGCCAAGUAGCGUGAAGGAUGAAGGUUCUAUGGAUUGUAAACUUCUUUUAUACGGGAAUAAACGAAUCCACGCGUGGAUUUUUGCAUGUACCGUAUGAAUAAGGAUCGGCUAACUCCGUGCCAGCAGCCGCGGUAAUACGGAGGAUCCGAGCGUUAUCCGGAUUUAUUGGGUUUAAAGGGAGCGUAGAUGGGUUGUUAAGUCAGUUGUGAAAGUUUGCGGCUCAACCGUAAAAUUGCAAUUGAUACUGGCAGUCUUGAGUACAGUUGAGGUAGGCGGAAUUCGUGGUGUAGCGGUGAAAUGCUUAGAUAUCACGAAGAACUCCGAUUGCGAAGGCAGCUUACUAACCUGUAACUGACAUUGAUGCUCGAAAGUGUGGGUAUCAAACAGGAUUAGAUACCCUGGUAGUCCACACGGUAAACGAUGAAUACUCGCUGUAGGCGAUAUACAGUCUGCGGCCAAGCGAAAGCAUUAAGUAUUCCACCUGGGGAGUACGCCGGCAACGGUGAAACUCAAAGGAAUUGACGGGGGCCCGCACAAGCGGAGGAACAUGUGGUUUAAUUCGAUGAUACGCGAGGAACCUUACCCGGGCUUAAAUUGCAACCGAAUAUGGCGGAAACGCUAUAGCUAGCAAUAGCGGUUGUGAAGGUGCUGCAUGGUUGUCGUCAGCUCGUGCCGUGAGGUGUCGGCUUAAGUGCCAUAACGAGCGCAACCCUUGCCGAUAGUUACUAACAGGUUAUGCUGAGGACUCUGUCGGGACUGCCAUCGUAAGAUGUGAGGAAGGUGGGGAUGACGUCAAAUCAGCACGGCCCUUACGUCCGGGGCUACACACGUGUUACAAUGGGGGGUACAGAGGGCUGCUACCACGCAAGUGGAUGCCAAUCCCAAAAACCUCUCUCAGUUCGGAUUGAAGUCUGCAACCCGACUUCAUGAAGCUGGAUUCGCUAGUAAUCGCGCAUCAGCCACGGCGCGGUGAAUACGUUCCCGGGCCUUGUACACACCGCCCGUCAAGCCAUGGGAGCCGGGGGUACAAGAAGUGCGUAACCGCAAGGAGCGCCCUAGGGUAAAACUGG